AUUGAACGCUGGCGGCGUGCUUAACAUAUGCAAGUCGUGCGAGAAAGGGGACUUCGGUCCCUGAGUAGAGCGGCGCACGGGUGAGUAACGCGUGGAUUAUCUACCCAGAUAUUCGGGAUAACGGCGGGAAACUGCCGCUAAUACCGGAUACGCUCCAAUUUCGGUUGGGGGAAAGUCGGCCUCUGCUUGCAAGCUGUCGUAUCUGGAUGAGUCAGCGUCCCAUUAGCUUGUUGGCGGGGUAAUGGCCCACCAAGGCUACGAUGGGUAGCUGGUCUGAGAGGAUGAUCAGCCACACUGGAACUGAAACACGGUCCAGACUCCUACGGGAGGCAGCAGUGGGGAAUAUUGCGCAAUGGGGGAAACCCUGACGCAGCGACGCCGUGUGAGGGAAGAAGGCUUUCGGGUCGUAAACCUCUGUCGGGAGGGAAGAACCUUCCAGGACUGAACAAGCCCUGGAACUGACGGUACCUCCAAAGGAAGCACCGGCUAACUCCGUGCCAGCAGCCGCAGUAA
rnacentral:rRNA from 1 species